GCGGAUUUAGCUCAGUUGGGAGAGCGCCAGACUGAAGAUCUGGANGUCCUGUGUUCGAUCCACAGANUUCGCA
rnacentral:tRNA from 1 species